rnacentral:rRNA from 1 species
AGACGUCUACAUUAGAUACCCGGGUAGUCCCAGCCGUAAACUAUGCGCGUUAGGUGUAUCGGUGACCACGAGUUACCGAGGUGCCGAAGGGAAACCGUGAAACGUGCCGCCUGGGAAGUACGGUCGCAAGGCUGAAACUUAAAGGAAUUGGCGGGGGAGCACCACAACAGGUGGAGCCUGCGGUUUAAUUGGACUCAACGCCGGGAAGCUCACCGGAUAGGACAGCAGAAUGAUUGCCGGACUGAAGACCCUGCAUGACUAGCUG